AAAAAAUUAAUAAUUGUUUUAGUUUUAAGAAAGGUUCUUUACAACUAUAUAAAUAAUAUAUAAUAGAUGUAAGGAGAAUUUGAACUUUAAACGAUAUAUAUUGAUAAAAUCACUUCUUAAAUUGAAAGGAAGAAAUAUGGCUAAAAUUGUCAAGUUUGUUUAUGUUAUGAUUUUCUUUCUGUCUACAUUGUUGGCGUCAACCAUGCAUUUAAGAAAUUCCAUGUGUAAGAGGGAUACCGAUUGUUUAAAUCGUACGUGCCUACCCCCAAAGAUAGUGAAGUGUUCCAAUAAAAUAUGUGUGUGUGUUAAAGUGACCUCUUUCAUUAAUUAUGUUCCUAUAUGAUUAUGCAUUUAGUGUCUUAUCCAAGAGAGUACACAAAUGAGCUACAUGAAAGUUUUAUGAACUAUAAUAUAGUUAUUGUAUUGACAUAUCAUAAUUUGUUUUCUUUUUCUUUUACGCUUAAUAAACGGUGUAUUAUGCUUAAUUUUA